GUGCACUUUAUGACGAAAAUUUAUGUUGGUAGGGACAUCUGAGAAAUCCUGAUGAAUACCAACAGUUCUGACAUGUGCAA